rnacentral:rRNA from 1 species
GCAACGAGCGCAACCCCUGCUAUCUGUUGCCAGCAAGUGAUGUUGGGGACGUCAGAUGGAACUGCCGGUGGACAAACCGGACGGAAGGUGGGGACGGACGGUCAAGUCAUCAUGGUCCUUAUGUCCUGGGCGUACACACGUGCUACAAUGGCCGGUACAGAGCGCAGCGAAGCCGCGAGGCAAAGCGAAUCGCAAAAAGCCGGUCUCAGUACGGAUUGGAGUCUGAAACCCGACUCCAUGAAGUUGGAAUCGCUAGUAAUCGCGCAUCAGCAUGGCGCGGUGAAUACGUUCCCGGGCCUU